UAUCCAUCAAUUCUAUCACUAAACUCUUUAGGAAGGACAAUAAAAUAAUCACAGAAUUUGGAAUGAUCAAUUACUUCAGAAGAGUAGGCGAAGUGGUAAAGACAGUUCUCAAAAUCCGUUUUUCAAUUCUCAGAAGCUCAAGAAACAAAUCCUGAAACACCAAGAAAGAGUGCAUGGGCACGCCCUAGAAUUCUGACAAUGACCUCAUUGUAUGCAACAAUCAAUGGAGAUGCUCCUCGAAAGACAAGAUAGAUCCAUUGGGAGCAACUAGACAACCAGCUUUUUAAGAAGAAUUCAACAAAACCUUGCACUGGAGUUUGGUUUACUUAUCGACCAUCAGCAGAAGUGAAGGACUGUGCAAAUCCAGUAGGCCUUGCUGGAAUACUUCCCUUGCUGUCAUCAAGGCUAGUAUGACUGACAUUACAUUCUGUUUCCUGCCAAACCUUCAACAUCUGUGGAAGGGGUAGACUGUAAUCAAUUCCAGAGAAACAAUCUGAUUCGUUGUUAAUUGGUUUCCAUUUCUCAACCAGUAGAGAAAGCACAUUCACUGCAUGGCCCAUAUCAGGUCGAUGGUUUGGCUCCCUUGCAGUACAAUGUCCAGCAAGUUCAGCAAUGAGGGAGAUGCUCUCAAAGGUCUCUUCAUUUGCAUCAAGAGCUGGAUCAAGGGCAGCCAUAAGCUUCUGUUUGUUUGACUUGAUUCGCCAAAACCACUCCGCCAAGUACCGGCUUUCCUCUGAGCGUCCCUCAUCAAGCGCCAUUAAUCCGGUCAAAAGUUCCAUCAACACCACUCCAAAGCUGAACACAUCAACCUUAGUGGUGAUUUUCCCCAUCACUGAAACACAGAGAAUUGAAAAAGAGACUUAAAUGCAUCGGAUUGUUUGUAUAUAAAAGACAUGAAAAUUCCAAAAAAUACGUUCAUCUUAAGGACAUCCAAAGAUUCCCACAAUUAGGUGAUCAAGAAAAUUGAUUUUGGAAUUCAAAUACAAUUGAACAGUUUAGUUUAUACAUACACCAAGGAUCACAAA